rnacentral:rRNA from 1 species
AGCGAACGCUGGCGGCAGGCCUAACACAUGCAAGUCGAACGAACCCUUCGGGGCUAGUGGCGGACGGGUGCGUAACACGUGGGAACGUGCCCUUAGGUUCGGAAUAACUCCGGGAAACUUGUGCUAAUACCGGAUGAGCUCUUCGGGGGAAAGAUUUAUCGCCUUUGGAUGGGCCCGCGUUGGAUUAGCUAGUUGGUAGGGUAAAAGCCUACCAAGGCGACGAUCCAUAGCUGGUCUGAGAGGAUGAUCAGCCACACUGGGACUGAGACACGGCCCAGACUCCUACGGGAGGCAGCAGUGGGGAAUAUUGGACAAUGGGCGAAAGCCUGACCCAGCCAUGCCGCGUGAGUGAUGAAGGUCUUAGGGUUGUAAAGCUCUUUCACCCGGGAUGAUAAUGACAGUACCGGGAGAAUAAGCCCCGGCUAACUUCGUG